rnacentral:rRNA from 1 species
GACGAACGCUGGUGGCGUGCUUAACACAUGCAAGUCGAACGGAAAGGCCCUGCUUUUGUGGGGUGCUCGAGUGGCGAACGGGUGAGUAACACGUGAGUAACCUGCCCUUGACUUUGGGAUAACUUCAGGAAACUGGGGCUAAUACCGGAUAGGAGCUCCUGCAGCAUGGUGGGGGUUGGAAAGUUUCGGCGGUUGGGGAUGGACUCGCGGCUUAUCAGCUUGUUGGUGGGGUAGUGGCUUACCAAGGCUUUGACGGGUAGCCGGCCUGAGAGGGUGACCGGCCACAUUGGGACUGAGAUACGGCCCAGACUCCUACGGGAGGCAGCAGUGGGGAAUAUUGCACAAUGGGCGGAAGCCUGAUGCAGCAACGCCGCGUGCGGGAUGACGGCCUUCGGGUUGUAAACCGCUUUCGCCUGUGACGAAGCGUGAGUGACGGUAAUGGGUAAAGAAGCACCGGCUAACUACGUGCCAGCAGCCGCGGUGAUACGUAGGGUGCGAGCGUUGUCCGGAUUUAUUGGGCGUAAAGGGCUCGUAGGUGGUUGAUCGCGUCGGAAGUGUAAUCUUGGGGCUUAACCCUGAGCGUGCUUUCGAUACGGGUUGACUUGAGGAAGGUAGGGGAGAAUGGAAUUCCUGGUGGAGCGGUGGAAUGCGCAGAUAUCAGGAGGAACACCAGUGGCGAAGGCGGUUCUCUGGGCCUUUCCUGACGCUGAGGAGCGAAAGCGUGGGGAGCGAACAGGCUUAGAUACCCUGGUAGUCCACGCUGUAAACGGUGGGUACUAGGUGUGGGGUCCAUUCCACGGGUUCCGUGCCGUAGCUAACGCUUUAAGUACCCCGCCUGGGGAGUACGGCCGCAAGGCUAAAACUCAAAGGAAUUGACGGGGCCCCGCACAAGCGGCGGAGCAUGCGGAUUAAUUCGAUGCAACGCGUAGAACCUUACCUGGGUUUGACAUGGAUCGGGAGUGCUCAGAGAUGGGUGUGCCUCUUUUGGGGUCGGUUCACAGGUGGUGCAUGGCUGUCGUCAGCUCGUGUCGUGAGAUGUUGGGUUAAGUCCCGCAACGAGCGCAACCCUUGUUCACUGUUGCCAGCACGUUAUGGUGGGGACUCAGUGGAGACCGCCGGGGUCAACUCGGAGGAAGGUGGGGAUGACGUCAAGUCAUCAUGCCCCUUAUGUCCAGGGCUUCACGCAUGCUACAAUGGCUGGUACAGAGAGUGGCGAGCCUGUGAGGGUGAGCGAAUCUCGGAAAGCCGGUCUCAGUUCGGAUUGGGGUCUGCAACUCGACCUCAUGAAGUCGGAGUCGCUAGUAAUCGCAGAUCAGCAACGCUGCGGUGAAUACGUUCCCGGG